CUAACAGCAUAUAUGCAAAGUAUUUUGAUUUAUUUGAAAAUAAUUGAAAAUAGAUUUUUCAAGGACAGUGUCGAGGUCACGGGGUCGGUGUCGUUUUUCGAAAUUUGUUAACUUAAUAUAAUAGAAGAUGUUUCGUUUUAAAUUAAGAAAUGUUAAAAUUAUUAAGUUAAAAACAUUUGAUUUUAAUGACACUUAAAAUUAGACACAAUAUUAUAGGUUACUAACUAAAAAUUGAAAAAACUACAAUAAAUAAUAAAAAAUAAUAAUAAAAAAUUGAAAAAAUCAAAAAAUUCUUAAAAAAUUGCAAAAUAACCCUUUUUCGGGUUAAAAUUGCAAAAAGAUGUUACAUAAAAAUAGUUUGUAAGAUUUUCUAACAGCAUAUAUGCAAAGUAUUUUGAUUUAUUUGAAAAUAAUUGAAAAUAGAUUUUUCAAGGACGGUGUCGAGGUCACGGGGUCGGUGUCGUUUUUCGAAAUUUGUUAACUUAAUAUAAUAGAAGAUGUUUCGUUUUAAAUUAAGAAAUGUUAAAAUUAUUAAGUUAAAAACAUUUGAUUUUAAUGACACUUAAAAUUAGACACAAUAUUAUAGGUUACUAACUAAAAUUU